rnacentral:rRNA from 1 species
CCUACGGUGGGCAGCAGUGGGGAAUAUUGCACAAUGGGGGAAACCCUGAUGCAGCGACGCCGCGUGAGUGAAGAAGUAAUUCGUUAUGUAAAGCUCUAUCAGCAGGGAAGAAAAUGACGGUACCUGAGUCAGAAGCACCGGCUAACUACGUGCCAGCAGCCGCGGUAAUACGUCGGGGGCAAGCGUUAUCCGGAUUUACUGGGGGUAAAGGGAGCGUAGACGGCAGUGCAAGUCUGGAGUGAAAGUCGGGGGCUCAACCCCCGGACUGCUGUGGAAACUGUACGGCUGGAGUGCAGGAGAGGUAAGUGGAAGUCCGAGUGUAGCGGUGAAAUGCGUAGAUAUUAGGAGGAACACCAGUGGCGAAGGCGGCUUACUGGAUUGUAACUGACGUUGAGGCACGAAAGCGUGGGGAGCAAACAGGAUUAGAUACCCUUGUAGUC